rnacentral:rRNA from 1 species
CGACUCUCGACAACGGAUAUCCCGGCUCUCGCAUCGAUGAAGAACGUAGCGAAAUGCGAUACUUGGUGUGAAUUGCAGAAUCCCGUGAACCAUCGAGUCUUUGAACGCAAGUUGCGCCCGAAGCCACCAGGCCGAGGGCACGUCUGCCUGGGUGUCACGC